ACGGCAUGAUGGGGACAUUUUCUGAUGAGGUCCUUUAAUCUUUCCCAUGCCUCAUGGUACUGUUCACUAUUGUGCUGUGAAAAGCUAGUGAGAGCUCACCUU
rfam:Cephalotus follicularis DNA, scaffold: scaffold477, isolate: St1.